CCUUGGGCUGGUACAGUAUUUACAGCCUACUUCUUUAGUUAAGCUUUAGUUCUCCUUUAACUCCAGCUUUAGGCUUUCAAGAUUGUGGGCUAAAUGAUAGUGGUAUUUGUUAAAAGAAGUAUCAAUAGAAAGCUGUGAAUGUUAAUAACAUAAUAAACUCUUUCCCUUUUAACAUUAAAGGUCCUUAGGUUUCUAUGAAUGUUGGAUUGUCACACUCCUUGGGUCGUAUAAGGCAAACUAGGAAACAGUAUGGAGUGAUCGCACAAUUGCUGGUGGUACAACAAUUUGUUGCUAUUUCUGACCUUUUUAUGAACUAAAUGUGGGACCACAUCGUAUCUCCAACCCAAAUGUUCAAAAAACUGCUACAGGACACAAAAAAAGGAUAUUGUUUACAAAAUAAUCAUGUGGUUUGACCAUGUAUGCUACAAAAUAUGCCUCAAGCAACCUGAAAGACAGACCCUGCCUCUUCUGUGUGCUAGAAAAUAUGUAAUAUUAUUGAUGCCCCAUGGGGUUAAAAAAAAUAUGCAAUGGUUGGUAAAAGUAAAGAUAUUCAAAGGAUUUAUUUCAAAUAAUUUUAAAUAAUUCAACAAGGCAAUAAACAAAAACAAGGGAUUGAAGAAAGCAGCUGGAUAAUAGAUUUUAUGUCUAGUGGUCUCAACAGUAGUUACAAAGGCCAAUUUACAUGUAUGUUGAAACACACAGAAGUUUCUUCGGGAACCAGCAAAAUAUGGUGUCAUCUAAUACAGGAAGAUGUAUAUUGAAAAGCUAUUCUAGCUGCUAUGUGAGUAUGAGGUGGGUUUCCUCCCACACUCCAAAAAUUUACAGGCAGGUCAGUUUGUUCCGCAAAAAACUGACCACAUGGUGUGUAUGUGACAAGUACAUUAGACUGUAAGCUCCUCUGGGGCAGGAACUAGUGUGAAUUAGCCCAUUGAUGUGGUCCUCUUCUACAACCAUUAUAGUCCACUGAGUAUAAAUCAGCCCAUUUCUAAAAAAAACCACGGGACAGUAAGUUGAAGAGUUGGAUGUAAAGAAAAAGAAGAUCUAUGGGAAGGAAGUGCUCUAUCAAAGGCACAGGUUUGUCUUGCUGGAUGGGUAAGUCUGUACCUUUUCACUUUGUAUCUAGCAUAUUAUUCUCUAUUGUUGGACAGAUAUUACAGGGCUCCUUUACAAACAGUGAUGCAGGGUAUAUGCUAUACGGACCCUCUCCCUGACAUGGCACUGGUCCUUGGGAACCAGCAUGGAGCUAAAUAAAUACAGCCUUGCAUAAGGGAUGGACUUGGAUAAUCAUGUAGGUGUCACCCAUACCUCCCCCCACUAAGUUGGGUGUUAUUAAAGAACUGCCUUUUCCCCCAGCUUGCAUCUUAUUUUCAAUCCGCCGCAAGGUGCAGAGCAUAGCUAUGCCUAAAAUGCAAAUGCAGAGUGUUCUUGGACCUUUUUUUUUACAGUGUCAACCAUUGGAGUGAGUUUUGUGAGUGACACUAAAAAGUAUGAAUAUUCCUUCCUUUAAGUAAUAUGGGUGGGGCAAGGAGGGUUAAAUACUAGGACAUUAUGUUUUUGUCUUUCAGCAGGCAUUACCUACAGACUUCUGGAACAGGUAUGCUGAGAUGUUGUUACAUACACACAUAUACACAUACACAAAUAUUAGUUUGGUAUGGCAUCUAAUAAUGCAUGCUUUUUGCCUGGUAACCUAAAGAAGGGGACAUAUACAUUCCAAACUGCCCCAUGUAGAACAUCAACUCCCAGCUUCCUCCAGCAUAUCACCAAUGGAAAAGUCAUGUUGGGUGUUAUAAUCCACCAGCAUAACAGAUGAAUUCCUCAAGCAGUUUUGCCACCAUAUAAACUUCCUGGCUCUUCCGGGCCAGGAGCCCAAUCAGUGAAAGUGGAUCUUCAGCCAGGAUCCUUUAUGCCUUGCACAUUAAAUGUGUUCUAGCAGUCUCACUGGAGAAUCUUUUUGCAUAUGAAAUUAUAUUUUUGCUGGUUACAUUGGAGAGCUAGGGGGUGCAAGUAGGUACAUUUUAGGUAGGGUAUUUGUCCCCAAUAAACCUGUUUUUUUCCCAGUAAUAUAGAUGCAUUUUCUUUUGGCAUCUCUCUGUGUUGGUUUUGUAAGGUCUCUGUGUAAAGCUCAGUUCUUUAUGCUAAAAACCUGUAGAAAUAAAGACAUUUGUGUUAUGACAGAGGAAGCUGGCUGCUAUGGAACACACACUGGCAUACCCUGCUGUUAACAUUCCCCUUGCAGGUUAAGGCUGGUAAGAUCUUUCACAGAAAACAGACUCGCACCUUAUAAUGAAUGAGAAGUUGGUUGCUGUAACAUAGCAUGUGGUUUUCUCUGAUCUCUUACAUGCAAACCACAUAUGGAUGUUUUUCCACAUUCCCUGACUGAACUCCCUCCUUGUUUAUAGUCAAUGAAUAUGCUUUUCAAUAGAAAAAGAGGACCACUAGAAUAAAAAAAAGAAAAAAGAAAAAGAAAGUUUAUUUAAUUUCCUGAACUACUGCAUUUUUGUCCCAUAGGUAUGGAAAACUGUGUGCUUGCUACUAUAGGACCUUCUGCCAAGAGCUGUAUUAGGGUCCGCUGCUACCCAAGCCAAUGGGGUCUCAGCCCCCACCCAAACUUUUUCUACAUGAAAAGUUGUACAGGGGAUAGGUGGUCUUUUUUGGCUACAUCACAUCUGGUUUAAGGAGCAUAUACUCUGUAAGGCAAUGGGGUCCAGCCUUGGGCUUCCCGUGCCAGAGAUGCAUUUGUGUAGGGUGUAAUAUGCACAGAUGCUAAGAGUUAAAACUGAAAGGUGGGGAGUUUAGUUCUUCUUUAAAGUGGGCAAAAACAUUCCCACCAUAUGCUUUUUAUAAAAUGUUAGAGUGUGCUGGGAGUUGUAGUCCAUGAACAUUUUUGUAGUCUGCCUUCUAUAGAGAGAAGGGGAAUGCAAUUGGUGGGUUUUUUGGAGGGUUUACUUCCCUUUUAAGCAUUACCUCUUGAAAGUCUAUUUAAGUUAGUUAGUUAGUAUAUUAUAGUUAGUUAUAGUUAAUUAGUUAUCUGUUAUUAGACAAUUGUAAUAGUAAGUAUAAUAAAUUAUCGAAAUAUAAUAAAAGGUAACACAUUUGCUUCUAGUCUAGUUAUUCCACAGCAACCAAUCGGCAAUUAGCAUUUAGUUGGUUGGCUUGUUUGGUUGCUAUAGGUGAACAGACCUGGGCAAACCAGGCACAUAGUCUCACUUUUGGCAGCAAGUGUUGUGCCCUAAAGAUUCUAGAGCGUCAGUGAAAGCACCCAGUACGUUAACCAAAUUUAGUCAUUUAGAAUUCUAAAUUCCAAAGCAAUUUGAGUAAUUAAAUUUGUCUUUCAUUCGUCUGGUGUCCCUGAUAAUUUGCUUCCAAACAUAAAACAAAUCCCUGUGGAGUCAAUCAUGUUUAGCGAGUGUUUAUAUUCCUGACAAUAAACCCAUGGAACCCAAUUUGAAUAAAUAGGACUUGGGAAAAAACAGCAAGUACAGUAAAACAUUUCCAGUUAAUUGAAUUUUGUAUUUCAGUUUAUAUAAAACCUUGCUAUUACCAGAAGCCAAUCAAAACAUGAUAUUUAUCCAGUGCAAUAAACCCACGUAGAUGACAUGAUUCAAGACAAAUUAUACUGGCUGCGCUGGGGUAGGUGCAUGAAUCUCCAUAUUUUUUUUCAUAAAUUAGCCCUAUAUCUGAAAAACAAUUGACCCUGUAUCUGUUUACUUGUUGCUGAGAAAACACUGAGUUACUUGCCUUCUUUUUAUUUUUUUUCUUUAGGUCGGCACAGUAUCCUAUGGCAAUGCAAGAAGCUGGGACUUCAACUAUUAUAUUUUAGUUCCUUCCUUCCAGUAUGCCCCCAGUCUAGCCUGGCUACUCUAUCUGAUUUUAAUAUAGACUUAUAGUAUAAGGCUAAGCCAACACCAGUAAGUUUCCUGGAACACACAGGAUGGGGGUAUUAGACAUGGAACAAAAAUUAUCCUGCCAUGUGGUCUAGGAGGUAAAAUUAUCACUGCAUUUAUCCUACAAUGUAUGUACUAUUGGAAUGCAUGUAGCAACAAUGAAUGCACAUUCGGGUGUGGUGGGUUUGACAGACCUUGCUCAAGGAGAUGCUGGGAAAUUGAGCCAGUAGUUAUAAUUGCCACUUGGGUGCUGCCACAUGGAGUUAUGGGGUAAGUCUGAUGAGCAGUAGUCUUAUUGUGCCAAUAAGUCCAGAAUGAGGCCCAAAUCUAUUUUCAUAGAGAUAAUAAUGCUAUGAUAUCACUUCAUAGGGAUAAUCUUGCUAUGAUAUUACUGAUUUCAGGUUGAGAGAAGCAGUUCCUGAAUGGUGUGGUUUGGUCCAUAGAGACCUUCAGCCGCAAAGUUAAAGAAUGUCAGGGAGCUAGGGCUAGGAUGGUCCUACUGCAGAAUGGACACCCCUAAAACAAGCCUUAUCCUGUACCAGAAUCUGGGAGUCAUUAGAUCUAAUUGAGCGGCAAGUAUCAGAAAGGUAGGCAGCAGGUGAGGACCAAGUGGCCUGGAAAGCCUUGUACUGUAUUUUUUUUCUAUAUUGGGAACUGUGUGAACCACUGAGAAAUGAAUUAUCUGCAUGGACCUGCUCUUUUUUCUAUUCUAAAGUUCAACUACAAGUCCUCCCUCUCUGUAAAGAGAUUCCUUAAGUUAAUUCAGCCAUUAACAGUUCAUAACACUUCUCCCCAACUCUCAAGAGUCCCUAGGACUUCUCAUUGGAGGAUUAUUUAGCAUUUUAAUGCAGCCUCUGGCCCUGGAGGAAAGUUGUAUUGAGUAAAAGUGCUUUAAGAAUACAACCCUGAUGUUGCUGGACUACAGCUCCCAGCAUGCUUAAACCCUUAAUAGUAUGUUCUUAUCCUGGGGUUUGUAAUCCAGUAGUUAAGAGUGGUUAAGCAACAGUAUUUAAAUCCCAUUUGAUGUGCCCUUUCAGGACUUAGUUUGGUACAUUUCCGUGAAUGAUGUAUCACUAAAAGUAUCUUUAUUUGUCUGGGAUGGAGCACUUUUACACACACUUGUAGGGAAGGUCACCACAUUUUCUAUUCCAGCCAAAUGAAACAUCUCUUUUCAAAUGUCAAGUUCCCCUCUCUCCAAUGUGUACAGUACAGUAUGCAUAUUUAUUCAGCAGGAAUAAAAAGCUUGUUAUCUUUGUAAUCUUUUCCAGGAUUGUCUGACAUUAUUAUCUCAUCGUUACCUCAUGAGUCAAGCAAAACACUGGAGGGGACAUUCAUGGAGGAACAGAUACCUCACAAAUCCUCUUCAUUCUCUUACACCUGGACCUACUGGUUUCCUGUUAGGCCAGUCAGCCCUUUACUGUCCAAGUGAAAAUGAUGCCACAUACACAGCAGAACAGCAACCCAACUGGCAAGUCUUCUGUUGAAAAGGUGGCUUUGUUAUGAUCUAAGAGCAACCUGCCCAGACCUUGGACAGCAAAAAGGCCACACUUAGCUUUGAAAAUGUCUACUCUAAGAUAGAAGCUAGAGGAAGAGAAGAACCAACUCGUUCAACUAAUCUGCAUGAGGCUACCAGACAAGGUCCACAAGGCUACCAGGCAAGGUCCAUGAGGCUACCAGACAAGGUCCAUGAGGCUACCAGGCAAAGUCCAUGAGGCUACCAGGCAAGGUCCAUGAGGCUACCAGGCAAGGUCCAUGAGGCUACCAGGCAAAGUCCAUGAGGCUACCAGGCAAGGUCCAUGAGGCUACCAGGCAAGGUCCAUGAGGCUACCAGGCAAGGUCCAUGAGGCUACCAGGCAAGGUUUUGGGUAAUCACUGAAGAAUGUUUUUGGUGGUUUGUAGAAAUUAAUGUAUUUAUUAUAAAAUUUGGUGUAAGUACUAUGGUCAAAGUACCACUCAGUAAGGUGAUAACAAAAUAUAUUUAUUGUGUGGAGUACUAAUUAUAUGCAAGGUACAAAUCACCAGUCACACACCCUUGUCAGUUUACAGCAAAUGCUUAAAGUAUAAUAUAUAUAUUGUAUAUGUGGUAAGUGUGUGUGUGUCAUAUAUAUAAAUAUGUGUGUGCCCAUCUCUCGGGAAGAGAGAUCUGUCUGUCCCUCCAAGGGAGAGCGAGAGAGAGAGAGAGCAACAUGUGUCCCAGAGUAUAUGCCUGGUUUCAGUAUGCCUCUUUCCUCCCAGUAUCUAAAAAAGACAAAAUUACAUGUUAAAAGCUUUACUCAGUCCUUUCCCACAUUAAUUUACACAUAUCUGUGAAUGAAUAGGAGAGGUGUACAUUUAAUAUGCUGUGGUCAAUUAAAAUUCUGCUGCUAUGAGCUAAUGUUUUACUCCACUUUUUACACAGCAUGAUAAA